rnacentral:rRNA from 1 species
GAAUUCACUAGUGAUUCAGAAAUAACACAUGCAAGUCGAACGUGAAGCACAAAAAAGGGUGCGUGGAAAGUGGCGAACGGCUGAGUAACACGUGGGCAACCUGCCCCUCACAUCGGGACAGCCUCGGGAAACCGGGAUUAAUACCGAAUACUCCGAUCACACCACAUGGUGGGUUCGGGAAAGCUCCGGCGGUGAGGGAUGGGCCCGCGGCCUGUUAGCUUGUUGGUGGGGUAACGGCCUACCAAGGCGAUGAUGGGUAGCUGGGUUGAGAGACCGAGCAGCCAGAUUGGGACUGAGACACGGCCCAGACUCCUACGGGAGGCAGCAGUGGGGAAUCUUGCGCAAUGGAAGGAAGCCUGACGCAGCGACGCCGCGUGCGGGAUGAAGUAAUGGGGGUUGUAAACCGCUUUCAGCAGGGACGAGGCCGCAAGGUGAC